UACGUAGGGUGCGAGCGUUAUCCGGAAUUAUUGGGCGUAAAGAGCUCGUAGGCGGUUUGUCGCGUCUGCUGUGAAAGCCCAGGGCUUAACCCUGGGUUUGCAGUGGGUACGGGCAGGCUGGAGUGCAGUAGGGGAGACUGGAAUUCCUGGUGUAGCGGUGAAAUGCGUAGAGAUAUGGAGGAACACCAGUGGCGAAGGCGGCUUCCUGGUCUGUAACUGACACUGAGGCGCGAAAGCGUGGGGAGCAAACAGGAUUAGAUACCCUGGUA
rnacentral:rRNA from 1 species